rnacentral:lncRNA from 1 species
CCCCGCUGCCCCCGGCCGCCGCCCAGCCGCUGUCAGACGGCGCGGUGGUGCUGGGGCCGGGCGUCGGAGUGAGCUCCGAAGUGUGAGUUAGUCCGAAGGAGUGUUGUAUGUGCUUGUGUGCGUACGUACGGCAGGAGGGAGUUAGCGCACUACGGGCAUCGAUGGAUGUGUACGUGCAUGUAUAUGUAUAUAGUAUAGAAUAUACAAUACCUAAAAUACGUAUAACUGUAUAUAUUAACUGUUAUAUAUUAUGUCUGUUGCCCAUACAGUGUCAAAAUAUGGGAACACACAUAUAUAUAUACAUUUAUGUGUUUCUGCUAGGGCUGCUCCAGAAGUAAUGCCUCCUAUGUUAUGAUACUCGCCCAUUACAUCAAAGGAGGAUGUUGGGGGGAUGGCAGUAGAGGUUGAACCUUCCCACCAAUAUUCCAUUAUAUGUUGUUGCCAUGUGACAGAUGGCAGCAGGGGGGUGGUCUGACACAGCGGUGUCUGACAUAGAAGCGCGGAUGAAGCAAAGGUGUGGCACUGAAUUCCUCCACGUGCAAAAAAAUGACACUCAUUAACGUUCAUCAACGCUUACUAAACAUUUAUAGACACCCAACAGUGGAUGUGAGCACAGCGAGGCCUUUAGCAGUGGUGCCUUUAGCAGUGGUGUCAGUGACCGUGGGUCACCUCCACUGGUGCCAAUUUUUAUGAGCAUGGCAGGCAGGUUCUUUUUCAUUGCUGGUGAAAAUGCACAGCUAACAGUGGUGACUAUGUUGAAAAGUAGUGUUCUGUAGCUGAGAAUUUGCUCUAUCACACAGUGUUGUUGUGCUCUUUAUUGUAGUUUCCAUGAAAAUAAAUAAAAGGCACAACUUUUGCUGCAGCCUACAUACAUAUAUGCAUAUGUAUGUGUGCAUAAAUGUGUGUGUGUGUUGCUGAUACUGAACAUGUCACUGGCAAAAUGCUGCUCACGCUGAAGGCACCAGAAAUUGGUCUCGUCUUUCAGCAGGAGAGGGAUUCUCUCACAUCACACUGAGCAUCCCGUAUUUCCCGAAACAAUGAAUUUACACACAACACCAUCACUUGUGAGUAAUGUGGUAUUCCAAAGUUCAAGCUAAUAAAAUCUUUAUUGGCGGACACCACUGUGCAUGACUUUAUGGCAAAGUGUAUCUAUCUUCUUUGACCUCAAACAAACCAAAACCAGUGGCACAGGCACAGUGGCACCCAAGGAAGUGGUAGAGUCAUUGUUUCAGGAGGUGCUUAAGAACUGUAUGGAUGUGGCACUGAGGGACAUGCUUAGUGGGUAUAGUGGGGGUGGGCUGACAGACUGGGUGAUCAGAGAGGUCUUUUCCAACCUUAAUGAUUCUAUGGUUCUGUCUAUGAGUUAAGCCUAAAGCUCUGACUCAAAAAGCUGAACGUCUGUGGCUGCCAUUUAUUUACGCCAGAGCCUAAAAGCAGGGCACUAAGCCUGGGGUUCUAAUGACAAAUUUAAAAGCAUGACACCAAUAAAAGAUUUUUCUUUAUUUUAUAUGCAAGUCAUUCAGAAGAACACAUUUAAAUUUCUAGCCUGCAUGCACGUCAUCUAGCCCUAUGGCUGCAUGGGAUAGUUGGACACGUCCUUUUAUUUGUUACAUUAUAUUCUUUGAAAUGAAGGAAACAACUGAACACUGGCACUUUGGAGGACAUUCUUUCUAUAGGGACAAGGAAAAAAAAAUAAAAUAAAAAAAAUACUUGUAGCAGACUGCCCAGAGAAGCUGUGGUGCCCCAUCCCUGGAGGUGCUCAAGGCCAGGUUGGAUGGGGCCCUGGGCAGCCUAAGCUGGUGGGGGGCAGCCCUGCCCAUGGCAGGGGUUGGGGCUGGGUGGUUCCCUCCAACCCAAAUCAUUCUGUGAUUCUAUGAUUCUAUGCUUCUAUGCUUCUGUGAUUCUAUAAUUCUACGAUACUCUUUCAUUCCUGAAUCUUCAGGUCCAGUCAGAAUACUGCUCAUGAGAAGAGAAGCCUAGCCUUAAGGUGGAGGAAGUAGGCAGUGUUCUCUCACAUGCAAAUCAUACUGUAAAUCGCAAAUGUAAUUCAUUCUAAAAUCAUAAGAUCCAUGUCUCUUUUUAAGACCUUUCUUUCAAAUGAAGGAAAUCUUUCUGAAAAAUACUGCUACAAAAGUGUCAAUAACUGCUGUCCUAGCUUCAAGCUCAGGGAGGGUGGAUUUAGGGUGCCCCCUCCCCUCCCCUCCGCUCCCCUCCCUUCCCCUCCCCUCCCCUUCCCUCCCCUCCAUACAGCAGGGAAUAUUUGGCUUCCAAGCUUGUUGACGAAGGUGCCGUGUAGCCGAGCAUGUUAUGAGAUGCUGGGGAUCAGUGUUUGCAGCUCAUGCUGCUUUCCAUCUCCACCAGUCCUGUGCAGCUGAAGCUCUGUACCCUUGCUGGUCCCAGAGACGUUGGGGACUCUGCUCUUGGGGACGUCACCACGUGGAGAAGAAUGUUCCCAAGGCACAGAGCAGCCCAUCAGAGAGGGAGGGGUCCCCCCAGCCAAGGAGAUGUGCAGGUGUUUCCCUGGCGCCACGGCGCCUUGUCAUGGCUCUGCCCCUGACAGCUCAAUGCGUCUGCUCCUGCCUCAGAACAAUUUGGUGCCGGGUCGCUCCGCACUGUUUCAUGGACAGCACAAACAGAAGCACGCCUGACUGCAGCUGAGCCACAAGGGCCCUUCCCACCAUACACCCACCGAUGCCUCAUUGCCCCCACUGCACCCUGCCAUCUGCACCCAUGUGUACUUUCAUCCCUUGUUCUCCUCUGCAUUGCCUUUUCUAUCAGAGACAGUGCUAACAGUGCUUCACGUGACAGAGUGCAUGCUGUUUUAUACAUCAAGAUAGUAACCCCCAUAAUUUACUUUAUUUACCUUUUAAUCCAUCUAUUGAUUGCUGCUGUCAGUUCCUGCUAGAGCAAGGAACAGCUCUGGUACCCACAGUGUGCUCGUGGGACUCACCUCUACCACACGGGUUUGCAGUCAUUGGGUGUGCAUUGAACCAUUAUGAGUCAUGGCAAUUUGGUUUUCCGUUUGCUGGGGCUUCCUCACUGUGGUUAUGGUUUUGAGUUAUAUGGCUGCACAUAAAAUGUAAUUAAUAUUAAUCCUGCUUUAGCUAUGUGGUAGUAAAAAGUCUGUCUUUAUUGCAAUUGUCAAAACUGCUUUCAUAAUGAGAAAAAUAGACUGAUUUGACAGAAUGAGAAUUAUCACUGUAUCAGAAAUUAACUCUAUUUUUAGGGAUGAAGUCUGAAGUUUGAAUCAAAGAAUAGUUUGAGUUGGAAGGGACCCUUGAAGGCCAUCCAGUCCAAUUCCCCUGCAAUGAACAGGGAUACCUGCAGAUUGAUCAGGUUGCUUAGAGCCCCGUCCAGCCUGACCUUGGAUGUCCCCAGGGACACCAUCCACCACCUCCCUCACCACUCUUACUGUAAAAACCUUAUUCCUUAUGUCCAAUCUAAAUCUCUUUUAAUUGAAAACCAUUUCCCCAUGUCCUGUCACAGCAGACCCUGGUAGAGCCUGUCCCCUUUCUUCUUACAGCCCCCCUUUAGACACUGACAGGCAUAUCUGAGGUCUCCCUGGAGCCUUCCCUGCUCCAGGCUGAACAGCCCCAGCUCUCUCAGCUCUUUGUUCUUAUUUUCUGACCUGUCUUCAAUAUCAAGAAAACAUUUCCAGAAAAAACUUAUCUGACUGUUUCAAGAAGUGGAUCUCUGGGAGCUGUACCUUUGGUGCUCUCUACUGCACGGGGAGGGCAGUACUGCGUGGAAGAGAUAUACCUGUGACACGUAUAACCAAGAUGCUCCGAGUUAUGGGAAAACAAACACCAAAGAGCCCUUUCCAGAGCUGCUUGGCAACUGUCUCCAUAAAUCAGUUCUACCAAGGUGCUGUGCCUUCCAGAGAUAGUCACUUUAAUGGCAGCAAUUUAGUUGUACGGGCCUGAACUUUGGGGGGAAGAGGCACAUGGAAACCAACAGGAAUAUAAAACUUGGGAACUUGAUUGGAAAUCUUUCAGGUCCAGUCUUGGAAUCAUAGAAAAUGUAUACAGAUGAUGCUGCUCGUGAAGAAACAAAAAUCUAUUAAAACACCUCCAGUGCAUCAGUAAAAGUGCUGGAAAGAAAUGUGAGUUUUGACUGUUGCUAAGAAGAGAUGUGGCUGUGUACAUUGCACGGGUCCUCUCCAAGUGACAACUCACAGGCAGGGGAAAAGAGACAUCAUUUAGGAGUUGGACUAGAUGGCUUCCAGAGGUCCGUUGCAACCUCAACCAUUCCACAUUUCUGUGAUUAGAAGAGAUUUUAUCUAUCCACUUUGCUGUGGUUCUUACUCUGGUGGCUUUUGAGGAAGCAUUCUCUCCAGGUUUGUCCCACCUGGAACAUGUUGAAACAGCACGAGCAUAGAGAUUCAAGUUACCAAAAUCCCAAUGGUCAAAAAAAUGGCAGGUUCAGCUGCAGUUUAUGGAAACAGAUAUAAUUGUUAGGGUUCAGAGCUGGCAAUGAGCAGAGGAGCUGGCUUCCAACUCAGGAGGUCACUCAAACUUUGGGUUUGGACUGUCCAGUUUUCUCUGAGAAAUCAUGCCCAAACACUUCUGUGUGGUGCCAAAACCAGAAAAUAUGUAGGUCUCCUCACUGUAAAAAAUCAAACAAUUAUUACAGGAUCUGGAUAAUCUCCACAUGCACACAAUAGAAGAAGUUUAGGGAAAGUUUUGUUGAAAAGAGGAAAUUUUGUCUCAUUAAAUUUGGUGGCAAAAAAUUCCAAAUUCAAGCAUGAUUUCACCCUAUGUUACACUCUUGCCAUUGUGUAGAUUUUUGGUUAUAGAUAAGGAUCAGCCAGGGUUUAUAACUAAGUUUAUUUUGUAGUAAGUCUGUAGCAGCAAUUAAAGUUCCAAAACAGUUUUCACAUACUAGUAAUUUAAAGAAAAGUACAUCUCUGAAGAUGUAAUUUUCCAUUUUAAUCUCCAUCCAAAGAUAUUCUUUAACUUUGGGCAAAUUCCUGUCAAACAGUUUGAGUUAUAAUUGUAUGAAAAAAGAUACUCUGCCAGAUGUAAGAGAAAGAUGACUGCUGACAUUUUUAUUUCUUUUCUACAAGAUAAGCCAUGAGAUCUGACCUCUGAAGAACGGUGUAUAAGUAACCACUCAGGAACUUGUUCAUAAAUGGACUGGAAAAGUAAAGUGGAAAAAAAGCUUAAAUUAUUAAGCCUGAAUGUUGGGUAAUAAGAGUGAACAGUAGAAAUAUGGCAAUUAGAUAUUUAAAUUAUUUUUGAUUCUCAGCCUUCUGCCUGAACCAUACCUGAGACAGUAAAGCUAGUACAUAUGGAGCAGAUAUCAGAGCAUGGGUUAUUUCAACAUCCAGUGCAAUAAUUAUGGCUAUAUUCAGUAUCACAAAUCUCGAAAUUGCAUCAAGCAACUUAAAAAAUAAAUUAAUUAUACUAUCACAAGGCAAACUUGGAAGAAAGUAAUUAUUCUUAACAUAGAAUAGUUCUGAGUAAAGAAUUAAUUUAUUGAUUUAGUAGUGUAGAAUUUGAUUACUUAACGUAUAAAUUCUCCCAGGAAUAGAGUCCUGGGGCAUCCUGAGAGGAGUGACUGAAUAACUGGAGACCUUAACGUGUAGAGGUCUUUGUAGGGUGCUCAGUGUAUCGAGUAAAAGAAAUCAUUAAUCCAAGCUACCAUCUAGCUGUGUUUGCCAUCUUGACUACUCAUCACAAAAAUUUGUCAGACUUAUUCAGAACAAAAAAUACAGAUGUAAUUCCCCACAAGUCCCCAGAGGUGUUUUUCAGUAUGGUUAGUUAUAUAUGGAAGAAACAUCAACAUUUCCUUGAUGCCUGACAGCACAAAAUCCUCAAAUAAAUAGCUACAAUAUUGGGUCUCAUAGUGAAAUUUUUAUAAUGUGCCAUACAAUUUUUAAUAUCUACAACAUAUGCAAAGUAGGAUCAAUUUUCUUACACUAGCACAGCAAAUGCGCCUCUAAGAUCCAGUUAAUGGUAUUAAGGUGCACUGAUAUAUUAUUUUAUUUUCUGACUUUAUCUAUAUUAAAAACAAAAUAAACUGAGAUUUUUAUUCCUCCUUACACCUGUAGAAGUAAUUCUUUAUGUGGUCUGAAUGAAGAUAUGAUAAUGGAUCAUCUUAGUAGCAACGUAUCACUAUGAAUAUGCAUUUGUUUUUCACGAGAAGGAUAUUUUAGGAUCGGGGGGAUAGCACUAGUUCUUAAAAGUAGACUAAAAUUAAAGCUUCUGAGUCCCAGGUGGAGGCAUUAAGAAACUAAAAUACCUGAGUUGAGGAAACCCCCAGCUUUGUGAUCAUGGUUAGACCUUCCAUCUGUAACACUAGAUAUAGAAGGAAAAAUACAACAAUCUGUAUUGCUGUGGCUCCUGGAAAAGCUGAAAGUGUGGGUACCAGUUAUUUACUGGACAGCAUGAAACCACAAAAUAAAUUUAACAGUUUGGAGCCCUGAUCCUUCUCAUUUAUGUUUCUGUUUUGCACUGUCCUUAGAAAAAGCACAAGUCUAAAAAAAGCCAAGGAUAUAAUACCCUGAUUUCCACCAUCUACUUAGCCUUUGAUAGAAGUUUUCUUAUUGAUUUCAAUAACUUGAGCUGCAUAGAAUCAAUCUUGAUAUGCUUUGCUUUAUUGAGACUACUCCCAACCUUGAAGUUAAGCAUUAAGGCUCAGAUUCUCGUGGGUAUCUACAUGUUUAAUUAUUUUCCCACAUCAGAACUAGCAGAUAAAGAUGUGUUCCAAAUUCUUGGCCAUAAGGGCAUGACAGUUCCUAGACACUUGUUUCUGAACCAGGCAGCCUGCCAGGUGGAAGGCUUAUUUGCCUCAAAACUUCAAGAAUCCAGUGUGUCAGGCUGGCACAAUGAACCAAUCACUAAAUUCAGAUCACGUAAUACAUACAAGCAUGGUGUUUUCCUUUUGGUGAUGAAAACUACUGGAAUGUAAUACAACAUUUGAAAAAACAUCUCUGCCAGUGUGCUACAUUCUCUCUUUACACCAGCAGUGAGA